rnacentral:rRNA from 1 species
UAGGGAAUCUUCCGCAAUGGACGCAAGUCUGACGGAGCAACGCCGCGUGAGUGAAGAAGGAUUCCGGUUCGUAAAACUCUGUUGUUAGAGAAGAACAGCGCAUAGAGUAACUGCUAUGCGUGUGACGGUAUCUAACCAGAAAGCCACGGCUAACUACGUGCCAGCAGCCGCGGUAAUACGUAGGUGGCAAGCGUUGUCCGGAUUUAUUGGGCGAAAAGCGAGCGCAGGCGGUCAAUUAAGUCUGAUGUGAAAGCCCCCGGCUCAACCGUGGAGGGUCAUUGGAAACUUGUUGACUUGAGUGCAGAAGAGUAGAGUAGAAUUCCAUGUGUAGCGGUGAAAUGCGUCGUUUUAUGUAGGAACACCAGUGGCGAAGGCGACUCUCUGGUCUGUAACUGACGCUGAGGUUCGAAAGCGUGGGUAGCAAACAGG